GAAGAAGAAGGGUAAAGUUUCUGGUCCAUGAGGAAUUCCUGGAAAAGGAGGGAUGCUUCCUUUGCUCUGUCCCCUCCUAACACUCGUCCAGUGGUUUUUGUCCUCUACAGAUGGUAUUUUGGUGGGAAAAUGAAGUGGGAGGCUGUGGGGAAUUGUCAGCUAAAAUAGGAACUGCUUUUGACUAUGUUUGUCUUUCCUUACUGCUCUGAUUUCUGUGGACAGCAGCAAACAUAGCCCUAAACUUGUGCCAUAUGUAUAUAUAUAUAUAUAUAAUUUUUUUUUUUAUACCAAACCAGCUCAAAUAAAAUUUGUAUUUACUCCCUCAAGUGACUGUUGGCUGGUAGCUCACCACAUCUGUGGAUUCUGUCCAAAAUGUUUAAAAAGAGGUAACUAAAGUAAGUCUGCUGUCACUAAGCCUGAAUUCACAGUGAAAAGGCUCAUUUCUCUUGUGUUUAAAGAUGUAUCAGAAAUGGGCAAUGGUCCCAUCAAGGGCCUAGAAGAUGAUGAGGUCCAGUCUAAUUGUAUUAUGUCCCAGUUUCCCAUCCUCUCUCUGUUUCAGGGUGAAAACUCUGUUAUGCCUCCUGGGUUUGUGUUGACCCACUCUGAAUUUUGGGUCAAAACUUUAAAGGGUAAUGGUCAGCAGGGACUGUGUUGGGAACUCAGAGAAUAGGACAAGAAAGAAAAGCUUGGUGGGCACAGAUGGGGGAGAGUGAGGUUUCCCUGUUGUGAUAGUGUGGUACCACUUAGUCUGGUCUCACUCCUGAGGCUGCCUUGGUGGUUGAGUGUAUUUAUUCUCUUAGCUGUGCUUGCCAAGCCCUGUAGAAAGUGAAAUUGUGAAGCAGGAUUUGUUUGAUAAGCAGUCAGUUUUGGGAUAAAGGGAUUAUACCUCAAUCUGGCACCUUCACAACAGAGCCUGCUACCCCAGUGUGGAUUCUCACAUGGUAAGUGGGUGGGAAUCCCCUCCUUGAGCAGCUGAGGGUGGCUGCACAGAGACUUGGGAAGUCUGCAGAAGCCCAAAUGGAAGUUGGGGUGUGUGGAUAAAGUGUCCAGGACUCCAUGGGCUUCACCAUGAACAGGUUUCCCUUUCAGAGGAGAUGUUCUUGGUGAAGAAUUCCCUGCAGGAAAGGUGGUUAUGGUGACAAGAACAGCCUCACAUGUGACUGAGAAGUAACUCUAAAUAUGCACAGGGCCAGGGGAAGACACCUAUCUGGUUACUUUUUUCUGAGCAAAGUGGGAGAGGUACAGCACUUGUUUUUUUUUUAAAUAAGAAGUAGCGUGCUAUUCCAGUACCAUGUUGAGAGAAAACAUCCAAAAAAGAGCACAGAUUUUAAACAAAAGAUGCUGUUAAAUUUUGCUCUCUCUUCUCCACUGUUGGUGGUCCAGCUGUUACAGGCUGCUCAAACUGUGAAGGCACAUUGGUAAGGUUUUUGUCCCUGUCUGUCUAUAAUGUGGAGCAUUUCCUGCUCUCUCAUGUGUGCUGUUUGGGUGGUACUUUCUGGACAAACGAGGGGGUUUUUUUCUAGCAUUGAGCCACUGCUAUGAGCUAAUUUUAGCCAGUAGUAGGCUGGCACAGGUUUGUAACAGUCAGAUGGCCACUUGUUUGUUAAUCAGCAUUAAAUUUCUCAAGAGGAAAAGCCAAAAGCCCUAAGGUAGAGUUGAUGUGCCCUUAACCAUUCCCUCCUACCACCUGGAUGUGCUACAGGCACCUUAGGGAGGCUGAAUUUGCAGGAAUUAGUAUCUGUCUUGGGAGCUUAAUUUGGUUAUGUCUGUACCAAUCUAGGAUGCUCAUUCUGCAUUGUUUGCAGAGCAUCUCCUGGUCUGAAUCAGAUUGCAGUCCUAGUGUGUCCAGCUAGUAUUCCUUUAAAAUUGACAUUUCUUCCCGGUAUCUGAUCUAAAUAUACCGUCCCUCAAUUCAAAAAAGAAUCACUCCUCAUUCACUGAGCUUUCUAGUUCUGGGCACACUCUAAGUCCAUCCUUCAGGAGCUGGGUAAGUGUUAAUAGGGUGUCUGGGGGUGUCCUGCGUGCUGGAUCUGUUCUGCAGGAGCAGAACAGUUUGCCUUGCCUCCUUUCCCUUUGGGAGCUGUUGCAGGGGAAUGGGAACCAAAGCUCUGUCUGCUGUUGGCUUUGCCAUCUCCUUUUGGAAGGUGCUGCUUCCAUUUAAGAAGAGGAUGGUGCAGCUUCCAUGCAGGACCAGGCAUCUGGAGGUGAGAGAUGCCUCUUCUGCACUGGUGGGACUUGUGUCUGUGGUUACAGGCAGAGCUCUGUGCUCUGGAACAGCUCCUGUCCUGCCCUUGCUGAGCUGCUUCAUGCCCUUCAGCUCUGCCCCUCUGCUCUGUCUCUGCUUCUUCCCCUGUCAGAAGGCAGACAAUGGGCUGCAGUUAUCCAGGUCCAUGCAUUUGUAACUGCUUUCUUCCUGUGUAAGUACUUAGAUACAGUCAAGGUCUCAGAAUUGUAAGUGUUGCUGUUUGAUUAUUUCGUAAAUAUCCCUCUGUCUACUACACAGCUUGUUGCCAACUUUGUCCUUCCUGAGUGUUCUUCUUGAAAUCCUUGUGUUUUUUAUCCUUCCCUGUUCAUCCCUUUUUCUCACUUCUUUCACUUUGUGCUGUUUGUCUUUAGCUGUGAUGAGCCUUUUGGGAUGGUGACCUUUGCUGUGUGGGCCCACAGUGGCUACCAGCGCCCUUGGGUGCUGCCGGCUGGCCAUGCCAGCUGCUCUGCAUUCCUCUUACACUCAACCUUCAGUUAUCUCAGGGACUUGGUGUGGGAUUUGUAGUGUAGACUCCUGUAUUAAGGAGAUAAGGAUAAUGCUGACAAGGAUAAUGCUCUGUAGAUCUCUGAUACAGCGGAGGGAAUCCCCUUGGAGCUGGUAAGGAUUUCCCUUAAAUUUAUUUAAUCUGGGUUUUAUACAUCACCCAGUGAAUUUUUCUGCUGGCUAUACUGGCUGUUAUGCUUUAAUUACAGAUUAAAUAUAUCCAUGGGAUCUGAGUGAUAGAGAAGUGUUCUCAGCCAUGCCAUGCACCUGGAAAUGUCCUCGAGCACUUGAUGGUCUGUAUGUCUUCCCUGAAAAGAAUUCUCUAGAAUGAUCCAUCAGCGACUUGUAGCACUAAUCAAAGGACUCACAGAGUCCUGAUCACGGUUUCUUAGUUGCUUCACUCAUACUCAGGUUUUUUCCAGUACUCUGACAAGACCACUCCAGUGAGUGGAUUUCCUGCAUUUCCUGAGGAGCCUUUAGGUUGUGUUCUGGAUCUUAUCCUGCAACUCUCAGUUGCUCCAGCUUUUCCUCUCAUAAACAGUAGAGUUUAAGCCUUUUGAAUUAGAGGCCUUUAUUCUUGUUUUGUGAAAUGAUGGACAUGGUAAAUACACAGGGCAAGUUUUAUGCUCAGAGCAUUCUUGGUGUGGAGUUGUUGCUGUCCCUCUCCCUUCCCCCAGGCUCACAUUCCAAAAUGCACUUUUUGAAAUAAUGCUUUUGUAUUGUAGGCAUUUCGUUAGUCCAUCAGCAACUGAAUACCUUCAAUUUAUAGACCUUUGUCAUCUUGUGGUACACAAAUUAUCAUAUGAUGUCAGUUAUUUUAGAACUGAUAAAAAAAAUUCUCAGCUGUACUGUGCUUUCUUGGAUGGUUGAAAUUCCCUUGGUUAAAAGUCCCUGCACCUUUCCUCUCCCAGGGGGUUAUAGCAAAUUUUGAUACUCUCAAAACACAGGUGGAUGGGUAGUGAAAUAGUCUUUUCUACUUCAGCAGAAACAGCACACAAACAGCUUUUAUUUUUUCCUCCUUAUCCUAGGAACAACUUACAAAAAGUCUAGGCUGGAAUCAAAACCUGAUGAGGCUCCAAUAGAAUAGAUGGCCAUGUAGGUCUCUCUCCUGUCACACUUCCCCCAUGGAAGGUUUGCUGGUUUACCUGAUGCUCUGAGUUUUCCUCUCUGCUGGGCAUUGAGUUAAUUUUUUCAGAAUGUCUUUUCAGGCUGCUUUUCAAGGUUGUUUUUUUUUUUUACUUUUCUUUUUCAUGCUCAGUGAGGCGAGAACUGACAGAAAGGACAGGGAUUUAGAAGAAUACAGUAAAUGCCAGACUUGUCAUGUGUGGCUUUGUGGCAAAGUAAUGAGAUGUGAGUUUGAUUGAUAACUCAUUGAGUGACAAUUCAUUCUUCCCCCCUCACCCUAUCAAAGAAACACUCAAAAAAUCUUAUAAAUAUAGACUCAAUAGAGUUCUCUGAAAAAAAUGAGGGACCAUCUUCUCUUUCUGUAAUCUACGUGCAGGAGAAGGGAAGGAAAUGAGAUAUCCCAAGUGUGAUGGUGAAAAGUACUAAAAUAAGGAGCAACCAGGGACUUGUGAGGAUUUGUAGGGAAAAGGCCAGUGCAUUUCAUAAUGAUCAGUGAUGGGAGAGGAGCUCCUGUGGCUCUGCUGAGCAGCCUGGAAGGGAGCCCUCCCUCAAGAGAGCAGGAGAGGUGAAUGAUUUGGAGUGAUGUUUUGGCUGUGGAGAGAGCCCAGGGUGUGUAUUAGCUGUUGAGGAUGUGGCAGCAGUUUUGAGGACCUGAGAAUCUCCCAGGUUGUGUUGCAGAAGAGAAGGACAUGUGGGGUUUGUGAAGGGAUGCGAGCAGGAAUCUGGGGGCAAACCUGGCAGUUUGGCAAUGGAUUGACUGUAGUGAGCCAUGGUCACAUACUGGGAGUGCUUGGGGAGUGAAGUCUGGCUGUGCCUGGGAUUGUUCCAUGGGCAGGAGGUGAUGAGGUUUGAAGUGAGUCCUGUCCCUGUCCUCAUUUCCAGUGACUGGCCAGAAGGUGUUUGUGUGGUCCUCCAGGUAACACCUUGUGCUUGCACAGGGUUUUUUUUUUCUAUUCCCACCUGAAACUGAGUCUUUCUUAGUCUAGAAAAGCCAGCUGGUUUCCUAUGCCUGAUGUAAGACUUAAUGCAAGACAGAAACAGGAGCAAAAUUUUGGUGAAUUUAAAAGUACUCUCGGGGUGGCUCUAGGCCAUAGUCAGUGCCAAUAUAUCAAUAUGCACUGCAGGAGAUACCUUGAGAGUGCUGCAAUCCUGGUAUCACUGACUGUGCUACAAGUAAAGGUACCAAUAAGACAUUUAUUUAUUUACCAGUGAGAGGAAAAUUUGUAGUCCCUGUUACUGCUCAGAGGCAGGAAAGGAUCCCUUGAGGAAAGCAGUAGGUUGAGUAGAGAGGAGACUGAAAGAGUGGAGCUUUAGAUUUCUACUUCUCAAAUCAUAUUUGGGGUUGAGGUUCCCUUCCUAAAGCUGACUGAUCUUCUCUUGCCUCCUGCUUGACACAAGGCAGUACUUUGUUCUCCCUCUGGUACUUAAGACUGCUUGUGUGCACAUCCUAUUCUUCCAUACUGUGUCUGGCUCUCGGGAAGAGAAACACAGAGCUGCUGUUUCUGGAGUCACCACUGGGGAGGCAGGUGUUUGAUUAGGCUCUCUUGUCUCUUGCAUCCAUAGCUGUCUGGGCUGCAGUUGUUCUGUGACAGCCAGACACAUUCAAGAUAAGGACCUCUUGUGUCCCCGAGGAAAAUAUUGGUGGAAUCCUUUUGUUCGUCUGUGGUGCUCGAGUUAGUUUGUGGUUGUUGAGCUGCUUUUGUGCUUCCUGUAACUGAAUCUGUUAUCUCUGAUAGUGUAACUGAGGUAAGCACAAACCAUUCCUGUCCUUGCACACUUCAGGAGCUAGUUCACGGGUCAACACAGGGUACUUCCAAAAAUAUAUUGAGUUUUUAUGCUGUUUAACUGGUUUGUUUCCCUGUGAUCUCAAGGCUAAGGGGAUGGAGGGCAUGUACUUUUGAAUGCAGCUUCUCUUCAAUCAAGUGACUCUCUCAGCUGGGUCAGAACAUCCAGGGCCUGACUCCAGCAGUGUUCUAAUGGUACUCCUGUGUGUGUGUGCACAUGGCUGGAGUUGUCCUACACGGGUGAGGGUUGAGGCCCUGCCCUCUCACCAGACAGAUGCAUGUGACAAAGGGGAGGGCAAUCACCUGAAGAGCUGUCCUGGAUUGCUAAAAGCAUCAUGGUGAAUAAUGCUUUUUAUUCCUGCCACUUUUUCUCUCAAAUACUCUGAGAUCACCUAUUGCCUUUGGCAGUGUGUUUGUUUUCAUGGUCAACACUUGCACUAGUGAAGCUGCUUAAAAAUGCCUGAGCUACAAGGCAGCUGGCAAGGCUGGUUGGCUGGCUUGGGAUGGUGACUGCUGGCACGUCACUACUGUGCUUUACCCUAAGAGAGUUUUUUAAGAGCACCUGACUUGGCUGGGAUAAGUGAAUGGAUUUUUUUUUUUUUUUGCCAUCCAGAUUUUACAGACAUGUAGUGGCCACAUACUCUUAUUUGGAAGUUCAUAGAUUGUCUUUCUGGUACAGCAGGGUAUUAACUGGUGGUAUUGAUGUGAGUCCUGUUCCCAGACAGCUGCUCCAAGGAGACAGGAUGGUUUGGGAGAAAUAAAACCAGCUCUGCCAUCAGUGGGACCCAGGUUCUGGCAGAAAGGAGCAGCAGGGAAGGAUCUGCCCAGAGGAUGCCCCGACAGCCCAGUGCGAGCAGGA